AUUGAACGCUGGCGGCCGGCUUAACACAUGCAAGUCGAGCGAGCGGCGGGCGGGUUAGUAAUUUCUUGGAAACUGCCUUAUGGAGGGGGAUUACUACUUGAAACGGUAGCUAAUACCGCAUUCCAUCCGCUGUGCCCAGAUGGGAUUAGCUAGUUGGUGGGGUAAUGGCUCACCUAGGCGACGAUCCCUAGCUGGUCUGAGAGGAUGACCAGCCACAUUGGAACUGAGACACGGGCCAGACUCCUACGGGAGGCAGCAGGGGGGAAUAGUGCACAAUGGGCGCAAGCCUGAUGCAGCCAUGCCGCGUGUGUGAAGAAGGCCUUCGGGUUGUAAAGCACGUUCAGCGAGGAGGCGUUACUCGCAGAAGAAGCACCGGCUAACUCCGUGCCAGCAGCCGCGGUAAUAC
rnacentral:rRNA from 1 species